rnacentral:rRNA from 4 species
UACGUAGGGGGCAAGCGUUGUCCGGAUUUAUUGGGCGUAAAGAGCGUGUAGGCGGUCAGGUAGGUCCGUUGUGAAAACUCGAGGCUCAACCUCGAGACGCCGAUGGAAACCAUCUGACUAGAGUCCGGAAGAGGAGAGUGGAAUUCCUGGUGUAGCGGUGAAAUGCGCAGAUAUCAGGAAGAACACCCGUGGCUAAGGCGGCUCUCUAGUACGGUACUGACGCUGAGACGCGAAAGCGUGGGGAGCGAACAGG